rnacentral:rRNA from 1 species
GACGUGCUAAUCUGCGAUAAGCGUCGGUAAGGUGAUAUGAACCGUUAUAACCGGCGAUUUCCGAAUGGGGAAACCCAGUGUGUUUCGACACACUAUCAUUAACUGAAUCCAUAGGUUAAUGAGGCGAACCGGGGGAACUGAAACAUCUAAGUACCCCGAGGAAAAGAAAUCAACCGAGAUUCCCCCAGUAGCGGCGAGCGAACGGGGAGCAGCCCAGAGCCUGAAUCAGUGUGUGUGUUAGUGGAAGCGUCUGGAAAGGCGUGCGAUACAGGGUGACAGCCCCGUACACAAAAAUGCACAUGCUGUGAGCUCGAUGAGUAGGGCGGGACACGUGGUAUCCUGUCUGAAUAUGGGGGGACCAUCCUCCAAGGCUAAAUACUCCUGACUGACCGAUAGUGAACCAGUACCGUGAGGGAAAGGCGAAAAGAACCCCGGCGAGGGGAGUGAAAAAGAACCUGAAACCGUGUACGUACAAGCAGUGGGAGCACGCUUAGGCGUGUGACUGCGUACCUUUUGUAUAAUGGGUCAGCGACUUAUAUUCUGUAGCAAGGUUAACCGAAUAGGGGAGCCGAAGGGAAACCGAGUCUUAACUGGGCGUUAAGUUGCAGGGUAUAGACCCGAAACCCGGUGAUCUAGCCAUGGGCAGGUUGAAGGUUGGGUAACACUAACUGGAGGACCGAACCGACUAAUGUUGAAAAAUUAGCGGAUGACUUGUGGCUGGGGGUGAAAGGCCAAUCAAACCGGGAGAUAGCUGGUUCUCCCCGAAAGCUAUUUAGGUAGCGCCUCGUGAAUUCAUCUCCGGGGGUAGAGCACUGUUUCGGCAAGGGGGUCAUCCCGACUUACCAACCCGAUGCAAACUGCGAAUACCGGAGAAUGUUAUCACGGGAGACACACGGCGGGUGCUAACGUCCGUCGUGAAGAGGGAAACAACCCAGACCGCCAGCUAAGGUCCCAAAGUCAUGGUUAAGUGGGAAACGAUGUGGGAAGGCCCAGACAGCCAGGAUGUUGGCUUAGAAGCAGCCAUCAUUUAAAGAAAGCGUAAUAGCUCACUGGUCGAGUCGGCCUGCGCGGAAGAUGUAACGGGGCUAAACCAUGCACCGAAGCUGCGGCAGCGACGCUGAUGCGUUGUUGGGUAGGGGAGCGUUCUGUAAGCCUGCGAAGGUGUGCUGUGAGGCAUGCUGGAGGUAUCAGAAGUGCGAAUGCUGACAUAAGUAACGAUAAAGCGGGUGAAAAGCCCGCUCGCCGGAAGACCAAGGGUUCCUGUCCAACGUUAAUCGGGGCAGGGUGAGUCGACCCCUAAGGCGAGGCCGAAAGGCGUAGUCGAUGGGAAACAGGUUAAUAUUCCUGUACUUGGUGUUACUGCGAAGGGGGGACGGAGAAGGCUAUGUUGGCCGGGCGACGGUUGUCCCGGUUUAAGCGUGUAGGCUGGUUUUCCAGGCAAAUCCGGAAAAUCAAGGCUGAGGCGUGAUGACGAGGCAC